rnacentral:rRNA from 1 species
UCGGCGACUAAGGAGCUUGCUCCUUUGACGUUAGCGGCGGACGGGUGAGUAACACGUGGGUAACCUACCUAUAAGACUGGAAUAACUCCGGGAAACCGGGGCUAAUGCCGGAUAACAUGUUGAACCGCAUGGUUCUACAGUGAAAGACGGUCUUGCUGUCACUUAUAGAUGGACCCGCGCCGUAUUAGCUAGUUGGUGGGGUAACGGCCUACCAAGGCGACGAUACGUAGCCGACCUGAGAGGGUGAUCGGCCACACUGGAACUGAGACACGGUCCAGACUCCUACGGGAGGCAGCAGUAGGGAAUCUUCCGCAAUGGGCGAAAGCCUGACGGAGCAACGCCGCGUGAGUGAUGAAGGUCUUCGGAUCGUAAAGCUCUGUUGUUAGGGAAGAACAAAUGUGUAAGUAACUGUGCACAUCUUGACGGUACCUAACCAGAAAGCCACGGCUAACUACGUGCCAGCAGCCGCGGUAAUACGUAGGUGGCAAGCGUUAUCCGAAUUAUUGGGGCGUAAAGCGCGCGUAGGCGGUUUUUU